UACGUAGGGCGCAAGCGUUGUCCGGAAUUAUUGGGCGUAAAGAGCUCGUAGGCGGCCUGUUGCGUCCGCUGUGAAAUCCCGGGGCUCAACCCCGGGCCUGCAGUGGAUACGGGCUGGCUGGAGGCAGGCAGGGGAGAACGGAAUUCCUGGUGUAGCGGUGAAAUGCGCAGAUAUCAGGAGGAACACCGGUGGCGAAGGCGGUUCUCUGGGCCUGUUCUGACGCUGAGGAGCGAAAGCGUGGGGGAGCGAACAGG
rnacentral:rRNA from 1 species